AUGGCGUCUGUUCCAGUUUCGUCUAAGGUCCUGCUUGACGCUAUGUUAGAAAAGGUUGGCCUUCCAGCGGCCACCUACUCAGCAUCCCCAAAAGACGACACGCAUUUGCAGGUCACUGUUAGCUUUUACCCAAUCAAGAUCAGGCUGGGAAAGUCACCUGACAAAGUUUCCCUGUCUACCUCAGAGCACCAAGAUCUAGAGAUAGCUCAGGAUUACGUGGUUGCUGCAGUGAUUAAGUACAUGGAUGCUUACGAGGGUGUGGUUCCUAAAGAUUACCAUUAUGAUCAACUGAUGAAUGUGGAAAAGGCAAAUGUACUGUUGGGUCAGCAACUUAAGGUGAUGGAAAAGAACGCUGCAUCUCUGAAAUAG
rnacentral:rRNA from 1 species